rnacentral:lncRNA from 1 species
AUCUUUCCCGCUUAAUGCUGUAAAAAGAUUUGCACGACGAUUUAUUUGCUGGCCACAGGAUUCGAUGGAUAAACAGUUCAUUGCCGACAUAUGGCUUCGUCAAUUUGUGACUAACAGCCCUUCAUCGAUUCCAAAAUUUUGCUGUACAAGAUUUCGACUUCAUCUUUAGAUGUGAUGUUUGCGGUCUUCCGGAGGGGUACGGAAAUCGGUGCAAUAAGGUUUGGCUCAUCUUUCUGCGAUUCUGUUUAGGCAUGAUGCGGGAAGCAAGCCUAAGCGCGGAAAAACUGUUGAUGAUGGGAAGAAUCAUGCGAGCCUUCAGACUAUAAAAUAUCUGCGCGGUGGUUAGUUGCUCAUACCUAAGACCACACUGCAGUGUAGUAGUUCGGUUGUGGGAAGCUGAACGGGUGCAACAGGUGCCUACCUCAUGUGAUUGCACGUGAUACCUCUGUGUGUUCUGUGCGAGGUAGCCAUCUCAUGCUUUUGCGCAGUUGAAGUAAUGUCUUUUGUAACAUAAGUAUAUGAUUAUAAAAACUAUAUCUCACCAGACUUGACAUAAGAUCUUCUGCUAUGUCU